rnacentral:rRNA from 2 species
GGCUCAGGACGAACGCUGGCGGCGUGCUUAACACAUGCAAGUCGAACGGUGAUGUCAGAGCUUGCUCUGGCGGAUCAGUGGCGAACGGGUGAGUAACACGUGAGUAACCUGCCCCCGACUCUGGGAUAACUGCUAGAAAUGGUAGCUAAUACCGGAUAUGACGACUGGCCGCAUGGUCUGGUCGUGGAAAGAAUUUCGGUUGGGGAUGGACUCGCGGCCUAUCAGGUUGUUGGUGAGGUAAUGGCUCACCAAGCCUACGACGGGUAGCCGGCCUGAGAGGGUGACCGGCCACACUGGGACUGAGACACGGCCCAGACUCCUACGGGAGGCAGCAGUGGGGAAUAUUGCACAAUGGGCGAAAGCCUGAUGCAGCAACGCCGCGUGAGGGAUGACGGCCUUCGGGUUGUAAACCUCUUUUAGUAGGGAAGAAGCGAAAGU